UUCUGAAGCCAUGGGGGCUGGGUCAGGCCGAAGUCCCGAGCUGCAGCCGCGCAGAAGGAGGAACAGGAAACCCCGCGCCGAGCCCUCAAACCGAGCGCAGACGCCUACCCGCACGAGUCGCGGCGCUGCAGCCUGCGCCCACACCGACCCUGCGCAAGAUCGCGGCCCGCCUCCCGCACGCGACGGAUCUCGAACCUUCGCGAGGCAGCCGCCGCCACCGCCCACCGCGAGCACGCACAGCCCGCCAAGCCUGGCUCCACCCACCCUUCCUCGCCUCGCCGAGCCUAGCCCCACCCCUCCCCGCCCCGCCGAGUCUGGCUCCGCCCGCCUGCCGAAUCUCCUAGCAACGCUCAAGUCUCGCGAGCGAACCGGCAAUCCGAGAAGAGUAAUGUCUUGCUCUCCGCCCUGACAACUUUUAUGUAUUAUAAUUUGACCGCGCUGGGCCACGCUGCGCAGUCGCAGCUCGGAACCGCUGCGUUAACCCAGCCCCGGAAAUAACGUACCGAUCUUCGGAGUCCAAGUCGGAAGUUGACUAGAGAGUCACCUGCUUUCGUCCGCUCUAGGACACCAGACACACCAGGCCGCCAUGUUGUGUAAGGAUCCCCAGCCAGUGAGCCUAAAAUGGGUAGAAGGAAAAGAUAUUUCUUACCCUACGCACCCAGGUCCAAGUCAUCAUUAUUUUGUCUGAAAUUUAUCUUCCUAACUGAUUUCUCUGCUUCCCCAUUGUGCCUUAAGAGUUAGUUUUCCACAGAGCAGCUCGAGAUAUCUUUUCAGAUCAUUAUAUCCCUUUGCUUAAAAACCUCUAACAGCUUCCUAUUAGGCUUAGAAUAAAGUACAAACUCCUUAAUGUGAA
rnacentral:lncRNA from 1 species